GGAGGUUCUGAUCAGCAAAUAAGGAAGGAACAACAUCUGACAUCUUUACCCACUUUAACUGUGAGUAUAUGAAAUCUAGGCAACAAAAUAAAUAGAACAGAGACUGGAAGACGUGAUGCUUCCUGGGAGAACAUGUGCCCCAUCAAGCAAAGAACUUGUAAUACGCUGAAUGCUGCAUAGAAGGUUUUGAAACUACUUACCUGCUGUGGAACACCUGUAUAACUUUAAAAUGCAUCAAUCAAUCUCGAGAGUAUGAUCAUGCUUCCUGCUUUUAAGGAUCUGAAGUUAACUGCAACUCCAAGUAUACAAGACUUCUUUGGGACCCAUGGAAGCAUCUCUACAUGCUCAUGUUUGCCAGAUUCAGUGGCCUCCUGAAACCUGGCCCUAGCUAAUAAGUUAAAAAGCUCUAAGUAAUCCCGAGCUGCAUUUGAAUCUCCAAGAUCACUUGUUCAUGGGUUGGUAAUACUUUAAAGAGCCAUUUGUUUAACUGCUAAUCUGGAUCUUAUAUUCUGAGCCCCAGCUUUUUUCUAAAGCAAAGAAAAUACAAAAUAAAAGUAAGACCAAAUGCCUUUGUACCAUGGAGAGAGAAAUGACUCAUUGGAAUGCUUCUGUUUUUCAUCACAUCAAAGAUGCAUCAACAUAAAUCAACCAUUAUAUCAUGCACCAUGAUAAAAAAGGGGGAUAAAAGUCCCCAAACCACUGCCAAUUAAACCAACACAGUGCCUUUGUAUUAUUCAGAAUUUUUAUCUUAGCCUUAUUGAAAGAGCUUUUUUAGAACAUAUUUAAACAAUUCUGUCAUAUUUCAUUCUUGCAUACUCAUUAAAAAGGAAAAUAUGAGAGAUACAAA
rnacentral:lncRNA from 1 species